AAUAAGUACAGUUUUAGCACUGUUCACAUCCAAUAUUUAACCGUUUAUCUUAUUUAAAAAAAAUAAUAUGAUUAGUAUUUUUAUAAUUAUUACAUGAUAAAACAUGAAUAGUACUUUAUGUGUGAUUAUUUUUUUUAAAUUUUUUCAAAUGAGACGGAUGGUCAAAACGCUAAACACGAAUAUCUAUAGCUGUAUUUAUU
rnacentral:pre_miRNA from 1 species